rnacentral:rRNA from 1 species
GUCACACCAUGAGAGUUGGGAAUACCCGAAGCCUGUGAGCUAACUUUUAGAGGCAGCAGUCGAAGGUAGAAUCAAUGAUUGGGGUGAAGUCGUAACAAGGUACC